AGCGAGCGGCGGAUGGGUGAGUAACACGUGGGGAACCUGCCCCUAAGUCUGGGAUACCAUUUGGAAACAGGUGCUAAUACCGGAUAAUAAAGCAGAUCGCAUGAUCAGCUUUUGAAAGGCGGCGUAAGCUGUCGCUAAGGGAUGGCCCCGCGGUGCAUUAGCUAGUUGGUAAGGUAACGGCUUACCAAGGCGACGAUGCAUAGCCGAGUUGAGAGACUGAUCGGCCACGUUGGGACUGAGACACGGCCCAAACUCCUACGGGAGGCAGCAGUAGGGAAUCUUCCACAAUGGACGCAAGUCUGAUGGAGCAACGCCGCGUGAGUGAAGAAGGUUUUCGGAUCGUAAAGCUCUGUUGUUGGUGAAGAAGGAUAGAGGUAGUAACUGGCCUUUAUUUGACGGUAAUCAACCAGAAAGUCACGGCUAACUACGUGCCAGCAGCCGCGGUAAUACGUAGGUGGCAAGCGUUGUCCGGAUUUAUUGGGCGUAAAGCGAGCGCAGGCGGAAAAAUAAGUCUAAUGUGAAAGCCCUCGGCUUAACCGAGGAACUGCAUCGGAAACUGUUUUUCUUGAGUGCAGAAGAGGAGAGUGGAACUCCAUGUGUAGCGGUGGAAUGCGUAGAUAUAUGGAAGAACACCAGUGGCGAAGGCGGCUCUCUGGUCUGCAACUGACGCUGAGGCUCGAAAAGCAUGGGUAAGCGAACAGGAUUAGAUACCCCUGGUAGUCCAUGCCGUAAAC
rnacentral:rRNA from 1 species